CGUAAAAACCAACAUUUCCAAGACAAAACCACACUAUUGAGUCUAACAGUUUACGAAGAAAACAGAAAUGUCACAUUAAAACCGAGUGUUGUUCGUUCAUGAGCCGAAAUUCAAGUCAAGCCGCGUUGGGAUUAACCCGCGCGGAAAGUAUGGCCAAGAGAACGUUUCCGGCAUGCGACUGUAUUGGUUUUGAAAAGAGACGGAAAAUCAUUCUUACAAAGGAUUUAACGUGGAAAUGAAUUCCGAUUUUCCGAGAAGCUAAAUGCUGAUUGAAGCGCAGCAGACAGCUAACGUUUUGCAAACGAUUCCAUACGGCAGAACAACGUCUUUUGUUCAAGAGCAAAAUCAGCGUAGUUUCAUCAUGAAGAACAAGUAAACCCUCACCACAGUACACCAUAUUAAUUAACGAAAUACACAGUAGAACUGAACGUCAUACCGUCACAUUUUAGUGCUAUCAGACUGAAAGCUAGGGGUCCAGUCAUAGCUGAAGAUCUCUGUUGCAUGCUACGUGUCCAGCAGGAACUAUCAUGAAAAAAAAUAUUGAGAUAUUCGUCACCUACGAGCAGCGAUAGAAGUAGUGUUAGCUUUAAAAGAGAGACAGAAGCACAACAAACAGCCUUUUUGAUAACAAUAUGGAUAAUUCUCACCCCUUACAGACAAAAUUGUCUUCUAAAAGAUUGAAAGAAAAUUGCAAACUCACGGAAAGAUUAUAACAAUUUUGAUACCGUCUAUGUAAAAUAUAACGAGGAAUUGGUAGAGGAGUUAAUAACAUUCCCUCUAUUUGGAACGUAAUAAAUAGUUCUUGAUCACAACUCAA